rnacentral:rRNA from 1 species
UACGGGGGGGGCAAGCGUUGUCCGGAAUCACUGGGCGUAAAGCGCGCGUAGGUGGCUUCGUAAGUCCGUUGUGAAAGUCAAAGGCUCAACCUUUGAAAGCCGAUGGAUACUGUGAAGCUAGAGUACGGAAGAGGCGAGUGGAAUUCCUGGUGUAGCGGUGGAAUGCGCAGAUAUCAGGAGGAACACCAAUAGCGAAGGCAGCUCGCUGGGACGUUACUGACACUGAGGCGCGAAAGCGUGGGGAGCGAACAGG